AUGAUACGGGUUUCUAGCAACAACAAAAGUGACAUGCCAUAUCUAAGGAUCUUACUCCAUGGGGUAUCCACCAACCGUCUGAGGUUUCACAAGGAAAUGAGUUUCUUGCAUUCUCAUGUUAAAAAGAAUUAUAAAGAAACCAAGCAGAAUAUGUUGUCAACCUAUAUCAAGGUUUGCCGAAAGUUAUCAACUUCGGCUUUGUAUCCUGCAUUUCUGUUUGUGAAAGAAAUCCAAUUGGAAUUUGUCUGUUGUCGUUCUCAUGUACUUUUUUUGUUGCUUAUAUAUAUUUCAACCACUUAUGUUGUCUCUAAAUCAUUUUUGACGACUCAGGUUGACCACACUUUAUAUCAUGUUGGACCACCUUGGAAUUUGUAG
rnacentral:rRNA from 1 species